rnacentral:ncRNA from 1 species
UUUCUUCCCACCACGACGGGGGAUUGAACCGGAAGAGCAGAAUAGGGAACCCCGUGGGAAUCGGGGACGGGCCCGCCGCUGUAAUCGGGGACGAACGCCGCAAAAAAAGCCACUGACCGUUUCCAUGGUCGGGAAGGCGCGGUUGUAGAGUGAUCCGUAAGUCAGAAGACCUGCCUGAUCCAAAAUGAGUCGU